GGUUACAGGAGUUUAACUGGUGACCGGGCGACCCGCUUUGGGGUCUGCCCUCGUGAGGCGCACAUUCACUUCACUGCCCCCUGUGACUGCCUAAGGCUGCCAGAUCCUGAAGGAGGGAGGAGGGGUGUGAAGCUUACUUUCCUGCCCUCCUCCUCAGUGUGCCCUUCUUUCUGUUCUUCGUCCAGAUGCUGUAAUUCCGUGCUUGGAAUCCUUGGCUCCUAUGAAGGCAAAUGUACACACACAGGAAAUACAGUGUUCUUGAGUUGCAUGCUGUGCUUCAGUAGCUGUCUUUUGUUCAGAACUUCAGCAUACUUGCAGAUCAUUUACCGUGUGUUUGAUAUACAAAACCAGCACAGGCUCUUUUUAAGCUGCCUCCAUGACUGGUGCUCUGUCCCAGGGCAAAAUGAAAAAUUCUAUAAAGGAGAAGAGGGGGAAAACGCCAUAAAAUUGCUGUGGAUUCUUUCACUGGAUAGGAAAAAAAAAAGUGUCACAGACAAAGAAAAGGGACUUUGGACUUGAAAUAUAAUGAAAGUGAUUUUUCUGAACAGACGAAGCAGAUGGCAUUUACAAAAGCAACUAAACUUUGUGAAUAGUAUAGAGUUUUCUUUGGUUCUCUUCAGAGGACAUAACACUUGAGAAAGUAAUGGGUCUGAAAGUUGAUUACCAGGCCUUCACCCCUGUGGAACCAGCUCAAAUUUAACCCUUGCUACUUCUAACUAACUGAAUUGAGUCAAUAACAAUUAUUUCUAGUGAGAAUAAUACGGCAUACAUUCGGGGAAUGUAUUAUAUAUGCUUAUCACUUCAGUUACUGUUUUUACAAACCUCAAAUGCUACAUCUAAGAAAAGACAAAUAAUAAAUCAAGAUAAAAAUUGAAAAGCUUUGAAACU
rnacentral:lncRNA from 1 species